AAUGCCGGAUGCUCCAGUUGAUCGCAUGGUCUUCUGGGAAAGCCUUUGCGGCAUGGGAUGGGGUCGCGUCCUAUCAGCUUGAUGGCGGGGUAACGGCCCACCAUGGCUUCGACGGGUAGCCGGCCUGAGAGGGCGACCGGCCACAUUGGGACUGAGAUACGGCCCAGACUCCUACGGGAGGCAGCAGUGGGGAAUAUUGCACAAUGGGCGCAAGCCUGAUGCAGCGACGCCGCGUGAGGGAUGGAGGCCUUCGGGUUGUAAACCUCUUUUGUUAGGGAGCAAGGCAUUUUGUGUUGAGUGUACCUUUCGAAUAAGCACCGGCUAACUACGUGCCAGCAGCCGCGGUAAUACGUAGGGUGCAAGCGUUAUCCGGAAUUAUUGGGCGUAAAGGGCUCGUAGGCGGUUCGUCGCGUCCGGUGUGAAAGUCCAUCGCUUAACGGUGGAUCCGCGCCGGGUACGGGCGGGCUUGAGUGCGGUAGGGGAGACUGGAAUUCCCGGUGUAACGGUGGAAUGUGUAGAUAUCGGAAA
rnacentral:rRNA from 1 species